rnacentral:rRNA from 1 species
CCUACGGGAGGCUGCAGUGAGGAAUAUUGGUCAAUGGGCGAGAGCCUGAACCAGCCAAGUCGCGUGAGGGAGUACUGCCCUAUGGGUUGUAAACCUCUUUUGUCGGGGAGCACAAGCCGGACGUGUCCGGCUGUGAGAGUACCCGAAGAACAAGCAUCGGCUAACUCCGUGCCAGCAGCCGCGGUAAUACGGAGGAUGCGAGCGUUAUCCGGAUUUAUUGGGUUUAAAGGGUGCGCAGGCGGUUUUUUAAGUCAGCGGUAAAAUCGUGGGGCUCAACCCCAUCCAGCCGUUGAAACUGGGGAUCUAGAGUGUGCGAGAGGUAUGCGGAAUGCGUGGUGUAGCGGUGAAAUGCAUGGAUAUCACGCAGAACCCCGAUUGCGAAGGCAGCAUACCGGUGCACAACUGACGCUCAGGCACGAAAGCGUGGGUAUCGAACAGGAUUAGAUACCCCAGUAGUC